rnacentral:tRNA from 1 species
GGUUCCGUAGUUCAAUUGGAUAGAAUAUCAGAUUUCGGCUCUGAGGGUUGAGGGUUCGAAUCCUUCCGGGAUCA